GCAACGCUCGAGAAGGUGAUGUCUGGCAGGGAUCAACACACUCUUUGCCACCCAGUACGGCCUGCCCAUGGUUGAUGGCAAGGGCAGGUGCAUUGGGUUGUCUCCAAGAAGCACAAGGCCAGGGCAUCCAAUUGGGUAACCCGGUGCAACUGCUGUUCCCCAAUGAGUUCUUUGUCAUAGAAUGACCUUUUGGUAGCAGUACUGAAUAAUAAAAAAAUUGUUGCUGUUUGCGCGUCUCCGUCGUCCCUCACUCUUGCGUUUCUUUCAAUCGACUGGGCGCGACGGUGGGUGAGGCGGGAUAGGUGGCACUGGGGCGCAGUGGAGUGGCUAGGCGAGAAUGUCUCGGCAGGGGACGGCGACCAUCGCAUCCGCUGAUAUGUUCACCAUCAUCAUUUAUAUGUAAUCUCAAAAACAAAGAAAUGCAUCCAGAUCUUGCAGGUUACACCAGGUUCUGUAGCUAUUAUUAUAUCUGUAAUUUCUACCUUUCAUGUAAUUUAUCACCAUUUAAUUACUAUAUGUGAUAGAUAUUUCUCUACUUAUUUUUAUCUUAUAUGAUGUGUUGUUCUACCUACGUAUGUUGCAUUCAGAGUACCGUUAGUUCUUGUAUGCUUGCAUCUUUGAUUGCGUAGACAUGCAGAGUGUCCUUUAAAUUUCUGUUAUUAUAGUUGGGAGGGUUACUCCUCAUUCUGGAGCCCCAAGUCAGAUUGAUAGAUUUUAUAUAUGUAAACAUUGAUGACCAUAUCAGUACCUUUGCCACUAUCUCUCUUUUGUUUGUGUAUUCCUACAGCCUGAUCAGCUUCAAAUACCUACUCUGACAGACAAUUCACGGUAAACUCGAUUAUUAACAUCCCUAUUCGUUGCAUUAAUUAUUUAUUUCUAGAGAUUUCUUUCUCAUAGCUGUUAUAUUCUUCCUUGCCCAUAAAUUAUUAUUUUGUUUAAUGAUAUCAAGCAUUCUUAUCUGGUAG